rnacentral:lncRNA from 1 species
CAGAUACACGUGUAGAAACAUACACACACGUAAUGUACACAUAUGUAUAGUGCACAUAUGCACGCACUUGUACACACAUUUAGGCAUACACAUGCAUAUGUAGAUGCAUGUGUACAUGCAUGUAUACAUCUACACAUGCACAGACACACAUACAUGUACACAUGCAUACUGUGUACAUAAUACAUGUAUACAGAUACAUGUGCGCAUGCACGUGUACACACAUGCAUGCAUACACACAUGCAUUUGUAGAUAUAUGUGUAGGUGUGUACACACAACAUACACAUAUGCAUCCACACAUACACAUAUACAUAUGAGGUGGCACGUUCAGCUUUCAAGAGGACCAUCAGGGACUUUGUCACCUUGACAACUUUAGCCUUGCCUUCUAGUCACCUUGCCGGAACACUUGUGCCCGUGUUUUUCUAGCACUGUCAUAAGAAUACUUUUACCUAUCAAGGCAACUGGGGGUUAGGAGAGCUUUUUGCACAGGAGGCUACUUGGCUUUGUUUGAAAACUGAUGAUACAUGAGGAUUGGGGUGGUGAAUCACUCACAUGUUUCUUCAUAUGAAAAAUGAGGACUGUGGGAUUCUCUGGCUGGAUCUCAGCACCUAGAAAUGGAUCUGGGCAAUAGGAACUGCUCAGUAUUAGCUACCGCUUUGGUUGCCUUCUCCUUGCGGAAAGCUGGCCUCUCACACUGAAUUUGUAUCAUAGGCACUCAUGAGGGUCUUGACUGUAUCAAUAUCUGAUGAGAGAUUUUAGUGCAGUUCUGUUAUCGUGGCUGAUUUGCUCAUUUGGUAGCUAGCAUCCAGCUUCUUGUGAACAUUAAAAUAAAAUAAAAUAGAUUAUGGAGGAAUAGAAUACAGAUACGUAGUAAGGUAUUAUUUUCCAGACAAAAUGGAUUUGGAUAAAAGAAUCUAAUUAAGAACUUGUGCAUGAUUCUUUUAAAAUUCUUUUGAAUCCAUUUUUUUUUUUUUGGCCUGUUUUCAAGUCUCCGAUUUUUGUCACCCUUCUCACACCAGGUCAGAGAGAUAGCUAAUGGUCAGAAGGAAUCUUCCAGCAAUGACCAUAGCGCUUUCUCCUGCCUGCAGAUGCCUCUUUUUAUUCAGCCUUUAUGGGAAGUAGCAGCACCAUCCAGUUCUCAGAGAGCAAGCUCUGGAGUAACUGAGCUAACCCCAGUUACCCCAGUGGAUUUACAGAUUGAGGUUACAACCCAGCAGGGUUCUCUUCCUGGAAAGAAUAGCCUUCCCUCUAAGGUUUCAAAUAGACCCUGGGUGAGGAAGGAGCCCUAAACAGCUUGAAAAAUUGAAUGCUCUUUGGGCAAAGCAGGAAGCCGUCCUAUGGAAGAGCAUCAUUUGAGCAUAAAUCAGGUUAUCAGGACAAACAGAGUGUUCAGGAGGUCAAGAUGGUUAAGCAGAGACCCUGACCAGAAUGUCCGUGGCGGAGAGAAACAAUCUUGUUGGGAAAAGGAUGACAAUAAUUGGGGACUUAGAAUAAAGGCUAAAAAUGAUUCAAAGAGAAUGCAAAAAGAAUCAGGCACAAAUCGUUUACUAUACUCUGUUAUGCAAAUCUCACCUUACUAUGUGUUUGUAUUCUAUUCCUCCACAAUCUUUAUUUUAUUUUAAUGUUCAAAGAGACUUGUAGGUGCCAAUUAAAUGAACAAAACAGCCAGAGACAACAGAACUGCCCUAAAAAAAGUCCCGCAUCAGCUCUUGAGAGCAGGUUCCUUAAAGGUGAACAAUAUUCCACAUACAAGGACUUUUUCAGCACCAUGCAUUAGAAAUGGAAGUGAAUGUUUAUUAUUUUUUGUAUAAGUUGGUUGAUAUGGCUUUUCAGCUUCCCUCAGUAUCAUUAUCCAAAUUUUGUAGAUGACACUAAAGCUCAGAGGAGUUAAACCAUUUUCCUUAAAUCACAUAGCUUUAAAUAGGAAAACCAGAUAUGAAAAGCAGAUUUUUUUUCUAAAUUAAAAAACCAAAAACAAAAACACGUGAGCUCUUGCUUUACCCUAGCACAUAGUCUUGCCAUCUGUUUUCUCCACACCAGGUGAUUCCUGUAACAUUCAUUCACAUAACAAAUACAAAUAAAUGAGUGGAUUCAUUCAUCAGAUAUUAAUUCAGAAUCCCUUUUGUGCCUUCCAGAAAUCUGGACCAUCUCACAACCCCCAGAGAGUCUCAGCUACAAGGAACAAGUGAUAAUGCCAUCCCACUUUUAUAAACACACACACACACACAUGCAAUACACACACAAUCAUUUAAUCAUUUUUAAUUAUUUAAUUAUUUUUUAAAAAUCAGUGACACUUUAGCUGGGCAGGUCUAGAUAGGUCUUCUUUGCUGGGACGUGUCUUUUUCUGUCCUGGAAUACCCUAAACUUCACAUUUUGGCAGCGUGAGUUUUCCCUUUGUGACUUUCUCCUUCUUCCCUUUUUUCCUCCUUCUUUGCAGAGAAUGAGUAGCCACUGCACCUUGCCCUGCGCCAUCAAUGAGAAGAUCUGCUCUUAGUAGAGCCCUGCUUUCCCGCUGAAGGCCCUGAAAUCACCUGUGUUCCAGGCCACCCACUAAGGAUAAACAAAGCUUCCCUGAUAUGGGGAAUUAGCUCAAGUGGUAGAGCGCUUGCUUAGCAUGCAAGAGGUAGUGGGAUCAAUGCCCACAUUCUCCAAGCUUUAUUAUUUAGGUACCCAAACCCGAGUCAGUGUCUGAGAGCAAGACACUGCUCUCGGUGUCUUUGGUUCAAGACAUAGGAGCAGCAACAAUACAGGACUGGUGACAGCUUCCUGCUGGCAUUCAGUAUAGUGUAGAUCUACUGUGUAAUUAAUUUUCUGUUUCUUCGAGGAGCUGUGAAACCAAAGGACAUAUAAAACUGCUCUUUUCUCCCUGUUUCUGCCUGCAGCUUGGUCCUAAAUGUGAGACAAUUGUGAAAAGUGGAGGACAGAGCCACCUGGUUAAAUACAGCCCCAGCUUUCUGGUGAGAGGACUGAAACCAAGAUGUGUCAAGUAACUAGAAUGUGCCUGGACAGAUACUGUAGAAAGCAAAACCAUAAAGUUGUUCAUGAGCUUGUGGACGCACCUGCCAGCUGUGAAUAAGUGGCUCUAAUCCCGAACAACUUACCUAAAAAGAGCCUGAGAGCUGAACUGUGCAAUGGCCCACUUUCCAGUCCUCACUGACCACUGGGUUGCACACACUUUGGAGAUCUCUGAACAGCAGUGUCAAGGCUUUCAAAUAGAGUUAUCUUUGAAACGACAACACAUGAAAGUCUGGUUGGUACUUGGAGCUUAAAUACAAGGCAAUUGUGUGCCUGCAAAAACAAAAAUAGCAAUAUUAUCCUUAAGAUUUCAACAAGACACAGUGUCUCAUCACAUAAUCCAAAGAAGUCCAGGUUACAAGCCCCACAAUAUUCAGCAUUAUGAAAAAACAGGGAGAUCUUAAUUCACAUGGCAAAGAGAAUCCUCGAAUAACAAUAUUGAGAGGACACAGAUGUCAAAAUCAUCUGACACAUACAUUAAAGCAGAUAUUAUAACAAUGCUCCUAGAAUCGGGGAUAACAUUCGUGAAGUGAAUGGAAAGUUGGAAAGUCUCACCAAAUAUUUCGAAUACAUAAACACCAAUUUAAACUUAAGAAUUAAAAAAAUGUAUUAACCAAAACUCUUAGGGGAAAUAAAAAGCUUAAUUGGAGGAUCUCCAUAAUCGAAUGCAGAAGACUAAGGAAAAAGUCAAUGAACUUGAAAACAGAACACGAAUACCUACAUAAUCUGAACUAUAGAGAGAAAGGAGGAUUUUAUUGUCUCUGAACAGAGGCUCAGGCACAAAUAAAAAAUAACAAAUCCAACAUUCACAUUAUUGUAAUCUGGAAAGAAGAGGACAAAGUGGUCUUUGUGGGAUAAAACUUUGAACAAUUAAUAGCUGAAAAUGGUUCAAAUUUGUCAAAAGAUAUAAACCAGAUUUUUAAAGUUCAGUAAAUGUCAAUCAGGAUAAACCCAAAGAAACCCAUAGCAAGGCAUAUCAUAAUCAAACUGCUGAAAACUAAGAAAAUACAAAACAAUUUUGAAAGCAGCCAAAGGGAAAUGAAAGAGAAACUACCAAAUGAAUGAUUGUAGAUUUCGCAUCAGGAACCAUAGGGGCCAGAAAAAAUGUCAUAACAUUCGGUAAGUAACAAAAGAAAAAGACAUAUCGACCCAGAAUGCUAUGUGGAGCAAAAGUAUCUUCCAGACAUAAAGGCAAAUAAAUGCAUUCUCAGUGGAAGGUAAGUAAAUACAUUCUCAUUCUUAGGAAGACUGCUGGAAAAGAAUUAGCAAAGAUUUGAGAUAAGAAAAAUGAUACCAGAAGGAAACUUAGAACAUCAUCAGUGAAGGAACAAAAGCAGAAAUAGAACAUGUCUGGGUAGACAUAACAGACUAUUAUUCUUCCCUUGAGUUCCUUAAGGAGACUACGGAAAAGAAGAGUGACUAAGAUCUCUGAAGAAGGGAAAAGCUAGAUGACUGGGCCACAAGAGGAAAAAAAGCAGCAAGACAGGCUCAAGACUUCCCAGUGUCUUUGUCUCCUCUCCCUCAAAUCUCUCCACCCAAUGUCUUGACAAAUACUGUAGAUCCUUCCUGCACAGCAUCACCAGAAUGUUUUUCUUUCUUUUCAUUCACCUCUGUCAUCAUCCAUGCUAUGGUGUUUAUGGAGGAUGUAUUCUGCAGCAGGAAGUGUGAUGGGCACUGACGCUGCAGAAAGACUCCUGUUGUCCACCUCGGGAGCUGACACGAUAAAUGCGGGUAAAUCUCAAUCCUUUAAUAUCUUUAUGACUUCUUUCUCUUUCUCUUCAAUUUCUAUUUUCUCAUGUUCAAGCUCUGACAUUCAAAACUAAACACCUUUCUCUAACAUGUUGCUUUAAUUAUUUAAGCAUUCUGCCUGGGAUUUUUUCAAUUACUCUUGGGAGUUUUCAUAAAACUCUACCAACAUAUCUCCAAGUGGCCAGGCUUUUCAAUCACUGCUUCCCUCCGUGUGUAUUUCACACACACACACACACACACACACACACACAGCACUUAAAUUGAACAGGUUUAUUUCUUCACACAGGAAUUCCUACGAACAGCCCGGUUUUCUCCACCAUAUGUCCACUCCUUCUCUGCAUAGCUGAAUUUUGAUUCUUACACUCUAAUAUUUUACAUAUUCUUACACUCUGAUAUGAUCUUGUCUCUUAUUCUUUAUGGCUCUGCUCUGUAAUUUUGUUGUUGUUGUUCUGAGAUAUAGUUGGACAUGUAACUUGUACAUGACACACCUUAGCAAGGAGGCAACCUAUAUCUCAGAUGCAAGUGAAAGAAGCACUCCCCAGGGGUUUCCUAAGGUAGUGGUCAGCACGCUGGCUUCAUUCCUGAAAGGGCCUAGUUAUGAAAACAACAGGAGCUUUUUGCCUUCCAGAAAUCUGUACCAUCUCAAAAUCCCCAGAGAGUCUCAGCUACAAGGAACAAGUGAUAAUACUAUCUCACUUUUAUAAACACACACACACAACACACACACACAAAAUCAUUUAAUCAUUUUUAAUUAUUUAAUCAUUUUUUAAAAAUCAGUGACACUUUAGAUGGGCAGGUCUAGGCAGGGCCUCCUUUCCUGGAAUGUGCCUUUUUCUGUCCCGGAAUACCCUAAACUUGACAUUUUGGCAGUGUGAGUUUUCCCUUUUUGACUUUCUCCUUGUUCCCUUUCCUCUUCCUUCUUUGCAGAGAAUGAGUAGCCACUGCACCUUGCCCUGGGCCAUCAGUGAGAAGAUCUGCUCUUAGUAGAGCCCUGCUUUCCCGCUGAAGGCCCUGAAAUCCCCUGUGUUCCAGGCCACCCACUAAGGAUCAAUAAAGCUCCCCUGAUGUGGGGGAAUUAGCUCAAGUGGUAGAGCGCUUGCUUAGCAUGCAAGAGGUAGUGGGAUCGAUGCCCACAUUCUCCAAACUUUAUUAUUUAGACCCUGGGUCUCCAAACACUCAGGUCUCCAAACCCAAGUCAGAGAACAGGAUGCUGCUUUGGUUCAAGAUGUAGGAGCAGCAACAAUACAGGGCUGGUGACGGCUCCCUCCUGGCAUUCAGUAUAGUGUAGAUCUACCGUGUAAUUAAUUUUCUGCUUCUUUGAGGAGCUGUGAAACCAAGGGACAUAAACAAUUGCUCUUUUCUCCCUGUUUCUGCCUGUAGCUUGAAUGUGAGGCAACUGUGAAAAGUGCAGGGCAGAGCCACCUGGGUAAAUACAGCCCUGGCUUUCUGGUGAGAGGACUGAAACCAGGAUGUGUCAAGUAACUAGAAUGUGCCUGGACAGAUACUGUAGAAAGCAAACCCAUAAAGUUGUUCAUGAGCUUGUGGACGCACCUGCCAGCUGUGAAUAAGUGGGUCUAAUCCCAAACAACUUACCUAAAAAGAGCCUGAGGACUGAACUAAACAAUGGUCCACUUUCCAGUCCUCACUGACCACUGGUUGCACACACUCCAGAGAUCUCUCAUCCGCAGUGUCAAGGCUUUCAAAUAGAGUUAUCUGUGAAACAACAACACAUGGAAGUCUGGUUGGUACUUGGAGCUUAAAUACAAGGCAAUUGUGUGCCUGCAAAAACAAAAAGAGCAAUAUUAUCCUUAAGAUUUCAACAAGACACAGUGUCUCAUCACAUAAUCCAAAGAAGUCCAGGUUACAAGCCCCAAAAUAUUCAGCAUUAUGAAAAACCAGGGAGAUCUUAAUUCACAUGGCAAAGAGAAUCCUUGCAUAACAAUAUUGAGAGGACACAUAUGUCAAAAUCAUCUGACACAUACAUUAAAGCAGUUAUUAUAACAAUGCUCCUAGAAUUACGGGAUAGCAUUCAUGAAGUGAAUGGAAAGUUGGAAAGUCUCACCAAAUAUUUGGAAUAUGUAAACACCAAUUUAAACUUAAGAAUUAAAAAAAGUAUUAACCAAAACUAUUAGGGGAAAUAAAAAGCUUAAUUGGAUGAUCUCAAUAGCAGUAUGCAGAAGACUAAGGAAAAAGUCAAUGAACUUGAAAACGGAACAAGAAUACCUACAGAAUCUGACCUAUAGAAAGAAAGGAGGAUUUUAUUGUCCCUGAACAGAGGCUCAGGGACAAAUAAAAAAUAACAAAUCUAACAUUCACAUUAUUGUAAUCUGGAAACAUUCACAUUAUUGUAAGAGGACAAAGAGGUCUUUGUGGGAUAAAACUGUGAAGAAUUAAUGGCUGAAAAUGUAUCAAAUUUCUCAAAAGAUAUAAACCAGAUUUUUAAAGUUCAGUAAAUGUCAAGCAGGAUAAACCAAAAGAAACCCAUUGCAAGACAUAUCAUAAUCAAACUGCGGAAAAUUAAGAAAACACAAAACAAUUUUGAAAGCAGCCAAAGGGAAAUGAAAGAUAAAAUACCAAAUGAAUGAUUGUAGAUUUCUCAUCGGGAACCCAGGAGCCAGAAAAAAAUGUCAUAACAUUCAGUAAAUACCAAAGGAAAAAUACAUUAUCAACCCAGAAUGGUAUGUGGAGCAAAAGUAUCUUCCAGACAUAAAGGCAAAUAAAUGCAUUCUCAUUGGAAGGUAAAUAAAUACAUUCUCAGUCCUAGCAAAACUGCUGGAAAAGAAUUAGCAAAGGUUUGAGAUAAGAAAAGUGAUACCAGAAGGAAACUUAGAACAUCAUCAAUGAAGGAACAAAAGCAGAAAUAGAAAAUGUCUGGGUAGACAUAACAGACUAUUAUUCUUCUCUUGAGUUCCUUAAGGUAUGUUUGAUGGUUGAAAGCAAAAAUUGUAACUUUAUCUGAUGCAGUUGUCAUUGUAUCUAGAUGUACUACAUACAUAAGAUAAAAGGGUAAAUGUAAUGGGACUAACUCUUGAUGAAGUUUCUAUAUUCAACUUGAAUGGUAAAAUAUUGAUUCUUAGUAUACUGUGAAAAGUUAUAUAUGUAUAUGGUAAUCCCUAGACCACUUAACAACCAGAUUGAAAUAAACCAAAACAAGAUAGACAGAGGAACAUAGAAGAAUUAAAACAAAGGGAAAAAAGGUUAAUAAAUUAUUAAAUAGUAGAUCUAUCUAAAAACUUAUCUAUAAUAACAUUAUAUGUAAAUUAUCUAAAUGCAUUAAGUAAAAACUAGAGAUCAUCAGAAUGUGUUAAAAAUAAAUAUGCUGACUAAAGAAAGCCACCUGCAAUACACUUAUAAAUAAGAAUAAAAGUUAUAGAGCAGAUUGAAAGAAAAGAGUGGGAAAAGAUACCUCAUGCAAGCAUUAAUCAAAGACAGCUGUGGUGUAUAUAUAUAAAAUCAGACAAAGUAGAUUUGAAAGCAGAGAAACUUUUCAGGAAUAAUGAGGCCUCCUAAAUAAUUAUGAUUGUCAAUUUUUCAGGAGAAUAUUGUCCCAAAUGUAUAUGAGGACACAGAGCUUCAAAACUCAUAAACAAAAUUGGAUACGCCAAGUAAAAAUAGAAAAAUCCAGUUAUAGUUGCAGUCAUUAACACUCCUCUCUGAGUAAUUGGAAGAUUUAGUGGAACACAAAUCAACAGACAUACUGGAGAAUUGAACCAUGCCAUCCAGUAAUGGACCUAUCAAUUUCAUAAUGCAAAAUAAAAAUUCAGGUAGAAAGCAAAGACAAAAAUUAAAAGAAAAGCAAGAUCAUGUUAUAAUGAGAAAAUUAAGAGUAGUCCAGUGUAUAGAAGGGUGCUAUUAUUGAAAGAGUUUGAAAUAGUGACUUAGUUAUUUUGAAACAUUUUUGAAGACGUUAUUUAGCUGGAAAUGACAGAAAGACUGAAAAUGGUGAAUGUGGAGGUGGAUCUUCCCUUGUCCAUAUUUAUCUUGUCUUCGUUUGAGGUCUGGGGUGUCUAUACUUCCUCUGAAUUACCUGAUCUUACUACAGUGUCUGGCACAGAGCAUCUCCCCAGUGAAUAUGUACUAAAUGAGUAGAAAGUAAUUGAUAGAUUCAAAAGAGUUGUGCAAGAAUAAUGUUCAUUAUUUGACUAAUCACUGAAUGUGGUGUUUCAAGGAAGACAAUGAAUCAAAGUUGACUUGAAAGGUAAGCCCAGGGCCAGACGUGGUGGCUCAUUUCUGUAAUCCCAGCACUUUGGGAGGCCGAGAUCAGUGGAUCCCUUGACACCAGGAGUUUGAGACCAGCCUAGGCAACACAGUGAAAACCUGUCUCUACAACAAAUACAAAAAUUAGCCGGGUGUGGUGGUAUGCAUCUGUAGUUCCAGCUACUCAGGAGGCUGAGGUGGGAGGAUCGCUUGAACUCAGGAGGUGGAGGUUGCAGUGAACAGAGAACGCACCGGUACCUGGACAACAAAGUGAGACCCUGUCAUAAAAUAAAAUAGUUAAACCCAGGCCAGGAGGGGUGGCUCAUGCCUGUAAUCCCAGCACUUUGGAAGGCCAAGGUAGGCUGAUCACGUGACGUCAGGAGGUUGAGACCAGCCUGGCCAACAUGGUGAAACCCCGUCUCUACUAAAAAUACAAAAAUUAACCAAGCGUGGUGGCAGGCACCUGUAGUCCCAGCUACUCUGGAGGCUGAGACAGGAGAAUUACUAGAACCCGGGAGGCAGAGGUUGCAGUGAGCCAAGAUCUUACCAUUGCACUGCAGCCUGGGCGACAGAGUGACACUCUGUCGAAAAAAAAAAAAAAAAAAAAGUUAAGCCCAAAAAGUAAGUAAGGAAGAGGUUUGGAAUUAGAUAUUUGUUGUAUGAAUGAGUGAGCUAAAGUGCAAAAGAACGGGCAGAAUAACUGAGCUGGUACAGAGGGAAAAAAUCACAUUUAAAAUCUAAAAAUAUCUGCUUCUUAGUUCAGGCUUUCCCACUUAGCAGCUUUGGCACCUUAGGAACACUUAACUUAUCUGAGCCUCUAUUACUUCUAAAAAGUGCAUAAAGUGCAGACUAAGACAGUUUUUUUGGCAAAAUUCAGUCAGACUACAUCAAGUAAACUCCCUAAGUCUCCUAGUAUAAUUCAUGGCACAAAAAAUUGGGGAAAAAACAGGGAGGAUAUGAUUAUAAGUUCAGUUUAUGUUUUUUGUUGAGUGAAUGUCUCCAGUCAUAGAGAUGCAAGUGUAGAUACACAGUAAGAGUAGUAUGAAUGGGAGACACCUUGGAAGGCUAUUUCUUCCUUCCUUCAUUCAGUUGGUCACUCAGUGAACUAUCAUGAAUUGAGCACCGCCUCUGUUUCUUAUCAACAAAGGAGACUGCGGAAAAGAAGAGUGACUAAGAUCUCUGAAGAAGGGAAAAGCUAGAUGACUGGGCCACAAGAGGAAAAAAAGCAGCAAGACAGUUACAAUUGUUUCUGGUCCCACUUUUAUAAACACACACACACACACACACACACACACACACACACACAAAAUCAUUUAAUCAUUUUUAAGUAUUUAAUCAUUUUUUAAAAAUCUGUGAUGCUUUACCUGGGCAUGUCUAGGCAGGUCCUCCUUUGCUAGGACGUGCCCUUUUCUGUCCCGGAAUACUCUAAACUUGGCAUUUUGGCAGCGUGAAGUUUUCCCGUUGUGACUUUCUCCUUGUUCCCUUUUCUCCUCCUUCUUUGCAGACAAUGAGUAGCCACUGCUGUUUGCCCUGGCCCAUCAAUGAGAAGAUCUGCUCUUAGAGCCCUGCUUUCCUGCUGAAGGCCCUGAAAUCACCUGUGUUCCAGGCCACCUGCUAACAAUAAAUAAUGCUGCCCUGAUGUGGGGAAUUAGCUCAAGUGGUAGAGCGCUUGCUUAGCACGCAAGAGGUAGUGGGAUCGAUGCCCACAUUCUCCAAGCUUUAUUAUUUAGACAUCGUGUCUCCAAACACUCAGGUCUCCAAACCCAAGUUAGUGUCUGAGAACAGGAUGCUGCUUUGGUUCAAGACGUAGGAGCAGCAAUAAUAGAGGGCUGGUGAUGGCUCCCUCUUGGCAUUCAGUAUAGUGUAGAUCUACCAUGUAAUUAAUUCUCUGUUUCUUUGAGGAGCUGUGAAACCAAGGGACAUAUACAACUGCUCUUUUCUCCCUGUUUCUACCUGCAGCUUUGUCCUAAAUGUGAGACAAUUAUGAAAAGUGCAGCGCAGAGCCACUUGGGUAAAUACAGCCCCGGCUUUCUGCUCAGGGGACAGAGUUUGAGGCACUGCAGAGGAACCGGCCAAAGUAUGAGACCCAUAUAUUGAGAGUAACAGAGUGUAAAGUUCAAAAAAAUCAAAAUAUUUAAAGAUUUAUCAUGGGUCUUGAUGACAUGAUGGAAUCUCUCUACUCUCUGGACUUAUUAUGUGUGGUAAUAAAUUUACUUUUUAAAAGCCA